AUUGAACGCUGGCGGCAGGCCUAACACAUGCAAGUCGAGCGGAUGAAGGGAGCUUGCUCCUGGAUUCAGCGGCGGACGGGUGAGUAAUGCCUAGGAAUCUGCCUGGUAGUGGGGGAUAACGUCCGGAAACGGGCGCUAAUACCGCAUACGUCCUGAGGGAGAAAGUGGGGGAUCUUCGGACCUCACGCUAUCAGAUGAGCCUAGGUCGGAUUAGCUAGUUGGUGGGGUAAAGGCCUACCAAGGCGACGAUCCGUAACUGGUCUGAGAGGAUGAUCAGUCACACUGGAGGUGGGACACGGUCCAGACUCCUACGGGAGGCAGCAGCGGGGAAUGUUGGACAAUGGGCGAAAGCCUGAUCCAGCCAUGCCGAGUGUGUGAAGAAGGUCUUCGGAUUGUAAAGCACUUUAAGUUGGGAGGAAGGGCAGUAAGUUAAUACCUUGCUGUUUUGACGUUACCAACAGAAUAAGCACCGGCUAACUUCGUG
rnacentral:rRNA from 1 species